GUACUUAUCGUUGAGCGCCGCCGAGAACGGUGUGGCGAACGUGCCUUCCGGAUAGCUGUU
rnacentral:sRNA from 1 species